AGCUCCAAUAGCGUAUAUUAAAGUUGUUGCGGUUAAAAGCUCGUAGUUGGAUUUCUGUCGAUGAGUGUCGGUCGGCCCCCAGUGGUUUGUACUUGUCACGCCAUCGACAUCUUCCUGGGGACUGUAUCUGCUCUUUACUGAGUGGUGCAUAAUCCAGGACUUUUACUUUGAAGAAAUGAGAGUGUUUCAAGCAGGCAAUCGCCGUGAAUACGUUAGCAUGGAAUAAUAGCAUCGGACCUCGUUCCAAAGCUGUUGGUUUCUUGGACCGAGGUAAAGGUGAAUAGGGAUUGUUGGGGGGCAUUCGUA
rnacentral:rRNA from 1 species